UGUUUCUAGGAUAUCAAGAUGCAUCAGACGCCAUGUCAAAGGCUCCCAGAAUUUGAGACUUACAUCUCAAAGGCUGUCACAUCCCCUGUCCUGCAGAUUUCUUAUAGAGAACAAUACCUGCCUUAUAAGACUGGUUCUGGAUCACCUGAGAGAAAGCCACCUUCUGCUUGUUUCUCCAUCUGUCCUUUGCUGGCAUUCCCCUUGCAGCAACCCUGGGGCCAGGGAGCAUCUGAUCAGAAGAACUCACUGCCUCUGUGCCCACAAGGACACGCCUCUCACACUGUGCUUCUCAGACUAUCUGUGGUAACGAACCAGAUGUUUGUAUGUUUUAGGUUUUUUUAUUAUUAUUUUUAUUUCCAGUCUGUAUGGAAGUUGCUUUUGUAAAAUACAAUCCCAGUAAAAUAUUAACAAAUUAAAAUUUUGAACACCAUUGACACAAUACAAGCUCUGUCAUCAUCACCAUCAUUAUCAUCAACAACGUAGUCAUCAUCAUGCUCAUUAUACUCAAGAAGCCGAACAUUAUUCUGCCAAUUCUGCUUCUUUACUUACUGCCUUGAGAACUGGCUACAGCCAGCUUGCUGAGGGCCACUGGUCCCCACUCCACACUGCUGGCACUAUUAGCAUGUGCCUUCCAUACAUAACAGGAUCCUCUUCCUUCCUGGCAACCUUGAGCCUUUCAGUGCUUUGCUCAGUGGAGGAGGAGGGAAGAUGAGUUAGGUACUGAAGAGAAAAUGGCCAGAUCAGACUGUGUGAGGAUUAGAUACUUUUCCAGGGGAGUGGAAGUCAAAUACUGUACAAUUAUCAGGGGAGUGGAAGUUCUGGAAGAGGCAGCCACAGGUCUGAGAGAAGCAUAUGGGAGACAUUGUGAAAAUACCAGGUGUCGGGGUGACAUGCCCUUUGCUCUGAAUUUCUAGGUAUCGGUGAGUUGAAACAUUGUUUCUCUGGCUACAAAUUUAUUAUGUAUUAUUAUAGCCAAUGUAGGAAAGUACAGACAAAUGUAAAUAAAAACUCCUUUAAAGAACACAAUCAAGAGACCUAAAAUAUUUGGAACAUUUUCCUUCAGGUCUUUUAUUCCAUGAUGUUUAAAAGUGCUUCAUAUCUGGGAGGCCUAGGUGGGCAGAUCACCUGAGGUCAGGAGUUCCAGACCAGCCUGACCAAAAUAGAGAAACACCCUCUCUACUAAAAAUACAAAAUUAGCUGGGUGGGGUGGCA
rnacentral:lncRNA from 1 species